GACACGCUUCCGUGUGGGGAAACUGCACAGCACACAUUUAUUUGAUCAUCCCAUUUGCAUAACUCAUCUCAGCCUUGGCACACGGCACAGAAAGGACCAUUUUGGGGUCCGUUUUUCACGUAUGCCCACGAACUUCGGAGCCUCUGCUGCAUUGCUGAGUUUCACCCCAAAAUGGUUCGCCACGGGUGUAGGAUUUUUCACAAAAACGUGGCCACUGCUUUAAGGGGCUGUGGAGCUCAUCCCAAAGCAUGAGCUCUGGCCUCCGAGGCCAUUUGGUGUGUGGAGCAGAGGAAAGCACUGCCCAUUUUUGGGGACAUUAAUCCUAGGCUCUAGCUACUUGCAGGCUCAGGUGGAUGUGGCAUGUGUGAACUCCGGUGAUUUCUGCUCAGACUCAGGAAUUAACGAUUUACUUUUAAAAGGCAGCAGGAGAAUGAGGAUGCACAGCCACGGUGAGGUGCUGCUGGGAUCAGCAGGCUGGCAAGGCGAUGAGUUUCUCCUGUCAAAGCUUUCCAAGCUCCCUAUAUCCAACCCAUGUAAUUACAGACCAAGUACAAUGGCAAGCUACUACCGUGCACUCCGACAAUACCCAGGAGCAGCCCACCACCAGAUCUCAUGAAACUUCCUUUUACGUCACUGCUGCUAUUUUAUAAGUCAAAUAUAUUUUCACAUUGUUCCCUGAUGAGAACCUCGUGCCAGUGCUAACUCUGCUCUGUGGGGCCCAUACGGCAGAAUAUUGGGACAGGACAUUCAGUAUUCCCUCUUGAAGCUCACCUGGUCCCAAAACAAGGGCUAGAAACCAUUGUGUUUACAACCAACUAGAUUUCAGAGGCUGUUAUCAGUAUUUCUUUGUUAGUGUGUGGUGCCCUGGCGACCUCCAAGGGUUGUGUAAAGAAAUUUAGAAGAAAUUAGAUUGACCCUACAGUUCUUUCCACUAGCACUGAGCAGAAGGCAGCGACUACAGCAGCUGUCAAGUUCUCUAAGGUUUUGGAUUUACCGUGGAUUUUGGUGAUUAGGGUCGCUACGGCGGGCUGGAUGGCAUCCCCGGUCAAAGCAGGGUACGUGUUCAGGAAGGAGGAGAUGGCUUGCAGGAGGUCUGCCAGUCUGGCUUCAACAGGGCCUGAAAAAACUUCUCCUAAAAUCAAGAAGGGGGAAAAUUAUGAUUUUUUUUGCAUGCAUAAACUCUCAUCCUCACUUCUCCCAGGGACAAGUCGCAUCAGUGGUGCAGCACAGGUACCCUGUUCUUCCUAAAUACUGAAAUUAUUUGCAAACCAAAAAAUAACAAACCCUGAAGACCAAACAUCCUGGUUCCUACUGUGGGACUGUUGCACAUCCUCAUGUCUUUACAUCUGAAGGGUUUAAGAGAAAAACCCAGCCCUGAGCUGAGCACUCGGAUAUUUGGUGAGGGAGAGGGAGCCAGCCCAGGCAAGCCCAAUUUCCACGUUCAGCUGGCAUAAUUUGGGGGCUGUUAGAAGCAAGCUACGAGCACCACCGCAGCCAGGAGCUGGCUGGAGAAGCAUCACCGACCUGACUCGUUCGGCGUGCCUGGGGUAUGAGUCCUGCAGGAACGGAGCUGUUCUGGGAAGGAGGGAGGGCAAAAGUGCUGGUGUGCAGGGCAGGGAGGCACAGCACGUCUGACAAACCCCAGUUCUCUCAACAAAAUCAUCGCAGACACCCUUUUUUUCCGCCAGUUUAACUCACUUGCAAGUAAUUGCAGUGCUGUCGGUAGCACUUGGGUAUUUUUUUGCAUUGCAUUUGAAGGAAACUUGUGCAUUUAGACGGCUAAGUGCUGCGAAAUUUGAUCUGUUGAUGCAAUUCAUUACAGGAGAAGGCAUUUGAAUAAUUAAAUAUCCAUACAGAGAGAAGCCACCCUAAAUUAUCCGAGGGCCAUCUAAAUUCAUGGUUUUAAAUACUGCAGCAAGAACGACGCUGGGUUGCUUUUGCCCACGGUUGGGAUAUGAUGAACGUUAAGCCGUAAGCAAAUAAAUGGAUUUUUAAAGGUUUACCUUUUCGGAAGAGCUCCCGUAAGCUCUGAAAUCUCCCAUCGAUGUCCCUCAGGUGUUUGGCGACGCGAGGCACCUCGCUGGCCAUGGGGUCCCCACGGCUGCCCCGGUCUUCGGGGACAGGGCUCUGCACCGAAGCCCAGACAGCAGCCAGGAAUUCGGAGUCGUGGCCAGGUGGAAGGAUCCUGCUUUGGGGCAACCUGCCCACGGUCUGAGCAGCACCAGCUUCAUCCCAGGCUCCUGUCCUGUUCAUGGCACGGCUGCGGUGCUGUGCUUCCCAGUCCCCCGGGUGAGCUUUUUUUUUCUCAGGCUAUGUUUUUGGGAGCAGAUUCCCAAAGUCCUGCAGGUCCCGAGCACGCCUCUCGCUCAUCGAAGGGAAGAGGAGCAGCAUCCCGUAAAUGCUGCUGGAGACACAAGAUGAAAAACGUGGAGAGAGAUGGAGGGGGUGCGAUGACUUCCCAUGCUCUCAGCAUUUAUUCAUUUUCUGAUCCAGGAGAGCUGUAUCCAGCGGCUUCUAGGUUUCUAGCUUCUUCAUCCUGCCAGGUUUUAAUUACCGAAUUUCAUUCUACCCUUUUCAGCAAAUAGAAACCCGAGUUUCGGAAACUUUUUCCUAGCAAAACUCGGAAAUCAAAACAAGCCCCAAAUAUCCGUAUGCAAAGGCGCCGCGUUUCCAUAUUGGUCUCUCUUAUUUACCGUACUUUUAUCUGCAAGUAAAAACGUUGUCUUGGGCAACCUGUGGAGAACAUUUUCCACCUCUUCCAUCGCCGGUCUUCGGCUGAAAGAUGGAUCAGGAAAAAACCAUGACCUCUCCGAGGGAGAAACCUCUCGGCCAUUUACUCCAAGUCCCGCAGCAUCUCGGCGUGUGCUGAUGGAGCCCCAAAAUUUGUCCUCGUUCCCUCCCGGGGGCUGCAGAGGGGCUCCGGAGGCUGUGCUGUGUCCUACCCCGUGCCAACCCCUGCAGGGGAGCGGAGCUACGUGCCGUCUGCGUGGGGUGAGUCUGAAACCCCAGGCAGGUGUCAGCCGAUGCGGAUUUUCCACAUUCCUCUCGGGAGUUAUGAAAUUACUCACUUCCCAGGCUAUCUCUGCCAUCUGUAGGAUCAGGCUGAUCCUCCCUACCUGGCUCUCAUUAACUCUUUGCUCUCUAAAGCCUGGGGAGCAUCUCUGAGAUUCUGCACAUUUCUUCCUAGGUUAUGGGUCCAGUGCAGCGUGGCCUUUUGGGGGAAGUCUUGUGUGACAUGAGAACAAGGAUACUUAGACACAACCAUCAGCAUUCAAAUCCCUUUUGUUCUACACCCUGUACGUAUAAACCAUGAGCACAACACAUGAAACCAGAGCUAAACGUCUUACAACGCCACGCAACGCUUCCAUGCAGCGAAUUGGUCGGAGUGAUUUUCGUAUCUGAUGGAGCCUGGGAAAUAAUGGUGGUGGCUGAUUGUUCCUUGCAGGAUUUUUCUCUCACCUGCAGCCAGCCCUGGGUGCAGCGCUGUGUUCGCUCACCAGGCAGAGGAUCUGUGGUCGAUGUCCCCUCCUCGUUAUCAGAUCCCCGGAGCCACUCCUGCCCACGAUGUGGCUUGAAGAUUUGGCUUUGUUGGCUUCUGACGUAGUGCAGAGCCUUCUUGGUUAUAAGACAGGAUUGGCUCCAGCUCAGCUUUUGUCUAAAGUACAUGCGAAAGCAUCAUGGCCAAAAAAAAAAAAAAAAAGAAAGAAAUUGAAAGAAAAAAAAAAUAAAAUUGAAAU